CCUACGGGUGGCAGCAGUGAGGAAUAUUGGUCAAUGGGCGGAAGCCUGAACCAGCCAAGUAGCGUGCAGGAUGACGGCCCUACGGGUUGUAAACUGCUUUUAUACGGGAAUAACGUGCCUUAUGUGUAGGGCUUUGCAUGUACCUUAUGAAUAAGGACCGGCUAAUUCCGUGCCAGCAGCCGCGGUAAUACGGAGGGUCCGGGCGUUGUCCGGAUUUAUUGGGUUUAAAGGGAGCGUAGGCGGCAUGUCAAGUGUGUUGUGAAAUUUCGGGGCUCAACCAGAGCCUUGCAGGGCGAACUGGCGUGCUUGAGUCCGCGGAAGGCAGGCGGAAGUCGUGGUGUAGCGGUGAAAUGCUUAGAUAUGACGAAGAACUCCGAUUGCGAAGGCAGCUUGCUGCAGCGGAACUGACGCUGAUGCUCGAAAGCGCGGGUAUCAAACAGGAUUAGAUACCCGUGUAGUC
rnacentral:rRNA from 1 species